rnacentral:rRNA from 1 species
GGAUUAGAUACCCUGGUAGUCCACGCCUUAAACGAUGGACACUAAGUGUCGGCGGUUUACCGCCGGUGCCGCAGCUAACGCAGUAAGUGUCCCGCCUGGGGAGUACGGCCGCAAGGUUGAAACUCAAAGGAAUUGACGGGGGCCCGCACAAGCGGUGGAGCAUGUGGUUUAAUUCGACGCAACGCGAAGAACCUUACCCAGGCUGGACAUGUACGAAGUAAGAACCUGAAAAGGGGAUGAGCUAGCAAUAGCAUCGUACUCAGGUGCUGCAUGGCUGUCGUCAGCUCGUGCCG